rnacentral:rRNA from 1 species
ACACAUGCAAGUCGAGCGGAAACGACUUAACUGAACCUUCGGGGAACGAUAAGGGCGUCGAGCGGCGGACGGGAGAGUAAUGCCUAGGAAAUUGCCAUGAUGUGGGGGAUAACCAUUGGAAACGAUGGCUAAUAUAGCAUGAUGCCUACGGGCCAAAGAGGGGGACCUUCGGGACUCUCGCGUCAGGAUAUGCCUAGGUGGGAUUAGCUAGGUUGGAGAGGUAAUGGCUCACGAAGGCGACGAUACAUAGCUGGUCUGAGAGGAUGAUCAGACACACUGGAACUGAUACACGGUCCAGACUCCUACGGGAGGCAGGAGUGGGGAAUAUUGCACAAUGGGCGCAAGGCUGAUGGAGUCAUGCCGCGUGUGUGAAGAAGGCCUUCGGGUUGUAAAGCACUUUUUCAGUCGUGAGGAAGGUAGUGUAGUUAAUAGCUGCAUUAUUUGACGUUAACGACAGAACAAUCAGCGGCUAACUCCGUGCCAACAGACGCGGCAAUACGGAGGGUGCGAAGCGUUAAUCGGAAUUACUGGGCGUAAAGCGGAUGCAGCGAUUUGUUAAGUCAGAUGUGAAAGUGGGGGGGUCAAUCUCGGAAGUACAUUUGAAACUGGUAGACUAGAG